UGCUUAACACAUGCAAGUCGAGCGGUAAGGCCCUUUCGGGGGUACACGAGCGGCGAACGGGUGAGUAACACGUGAGUAAUCUGCCCUUCACUUCGGGAUAAGCCUCGGAAACGGGGUCUAAUACCGGAUACGACACUUUUACGCAUGUAAUGGGUGUGGAAAGUUUUUUCGGUGGGGGAUGUGCUCGCGGCCUAUCAGCUUGUUGGUGGGGUAAUGGCCUACCAAGGCUUCGACGGGUAGCCGGCCUGAGAGGGUGACCGGCCACACUGGGACUGAGACACGGCCCAGACUCCUACGGGAGGCAGCAGUGGGGAAUAUUGGACAAUGGGCGGAAGCCUGAUCCAGCAACGCCGCGUGAGGGAUGACGGCCUUCGGGUUGUAAACCUCUUUCAGCGGGGACGAAGCGCAAGUGACGGUACCCGCAGAAGAAGCACCGGCCAACUACGUGCCAGCAGCCGCGGUAAUACGUAGGGUGCGAGCGUUGUCCGGAAUUAUUGGGCGUAAAGGGCUCGUAGGCGGUUUGUCGCGUCGGGAGUGAAAACGCCGGGCUUAACUCGGUGCUUGCUUUCGAUACGGGCAGACUAGAGGCAUGCAGGGGAGAACGGAAUUCCUGGUGUAGCGGUGAAAUGCGCAGAUAUCAGGAGGAACACCGGUGGCG
rnacentral:rRNA from 1 species